UUGUCGAUCCUCAACGAAAACCUGCGAACACGUUCGAAAAUCUGCGUCGGGCGUCGGGGUAAAACCUGCGCCCCUCGCCACCUGCCCGGCCGAACGGCGACCCAACGGUCUGUCGGUCGUGUCGGGCAACCGAAACAAAAACCGGCGCGGGAAGCGCCAAGGACUUUACGAAAUGGGAUGCCUUCCUGUGGAGAGGGGCCGUUCGCGGAUUCCUGCCACGGGGCUUGAGAGGCACCUCUGAACGAAAUAUUACACGACUCUCGGCAACGGAUAUCUAGGCUCUCGCAUCGAUGAAGAACGUAGCAAACUGCGAUACUUGGUGUGAAUUGCAGAAUCCCGUGAACCAUCGAGUCUUUGAACGCAAGUUGCGCCCGAAGCCAUUAGGCCGAGGGCACGUCUGCCUGGGCGUCACGCAUCGCGUCGCCCCCCC
rnacentral:misc_RNA from 1 species